rnacentral:rRNA from 1 species
GUACGUUAGCGGCGGACGGGUGAGUAACACGUGGGUAACCUACCUAUAAGACUGGGAUAACUUCGGGAAACCGGAGCUAAUACCGGAUAAUAUUUCGAACCGCAUGGUUCGAUAGUGAAAGAUGGUUUUGCUAUCACUUAUAGAUGGACCCGCGCCGUAUUAGCUAGUUGGUAAGGUAACGGCUUACCAAGGCGACGAUACGUAGCCGACCUGAGAGGGUGAUCGGCCACACUGGAACUGAGACACGGUCCAGACUCCUACGGGAGGCAGCAGCA